AAAAAAAAAAAAAAAAAAAAAAUACGCCAGACAAACCCCAAUUGAGGGCAAUCUACAAAGUACCUGACCAGGACUCCUCAAAACAAUCAAGGUCAUCAAAAACAAGGGAAGUGUGAGAAACAGCCAAGAAGAGCCUAAGGAGACCCAUUGACUCUGGGAACAGAAAAAGACAGUAGCAUACAAAUUUUGUAGCAUGUGCAAUGAUACAAAAUGAAGGCCUAAAGGGCAAAACUAACCAUCUCAAGGCCACCAUGGAUAGUUUGAAGGCUGUGCACUGCCCAAGAGCAACACAGGUGGCAAUAAGGUUUGACAAUGCUGCAACAAAUUAAAAAGUGUUUUGAGGAAGUGGCAUGCUUCUCCAAUUAGCAGUAUCUCUGAUCAUUCCUCAACCUCAUGCCCCCCCUGCCUCCUUCUUCUAUUGCUCAAUCAAUGACACCAUAUGGAAAUCCUAAGAAGUUUAAACUACCUGUGUACACAGGGCUUGGAAGCUUCUGGAACAUUCUCCCACAAUCCUGAUAUCUGAUCUUCACAAUUGCAACAAUAGGAGAUGGUCCUUUGUUGUACAUUCUUCUGGAUGAAUUUUGGGACUUUAUUCCUCCAUGUCGCUUCUCAAAUGUUGUAGGAACACAUUUUUCCCUCUCCAUCGCUCCCCACUGAUCUCCUUCCCCAGCACACACACCUUUGAAAGAGUGAAUGAGUCUGUGUUUUUUAACUGUUGGCAUGUAUUAGCCUUAAUAAAUAACGUAAUUGACUGCGGGACACUGAUUACGUGCUUCAACUUGGCGGGCCUGGGCCAGGGGACCGGAUCCGCCCCUGGGGAGGGUGGUGGGCACGGGCGACAGCGCCCUCCACAGCCCCCCAGGCCUGGGAAAG